rnacentral:rRNA from 1 species
GAGGCCGAUGGAAUUCCGCGUGUAGCAGUGAAAUGCGUAGAUAUGCGGAGGAACACCAAUGGCGAAGGCAAUCCCCUGGACCUGUACUGACGCUCAUGCACGAAAGCGUGGGGAGCAAACAGGAUUAGAUACCCUGGUAGUCCACGCCCUAAACGAUGUCAACUGGUUGUUGGACGGCUUGCUGUUCAGUAACGAAGCUAACGCGUGAAGUUGACCGGGCCUGGAGUACGGCCGCAAGGUUGAAACUCGGAAAAAUUGACGGGGACCCGCACAAGCGGUGGAUGAUGUGGUUUAAUUCGAUGCAACGGUUAAAACUCUACCUACCCUUGACAUGUCAAGAAUUUUGCAGAGAUGUGAAAGUGCUCGGAAAAGAACUUGAACACAGGUGCUGCAUGGCCGUCGUCAGCUCGUGUCGUGAGUGAUUGGGUUAAGUCCCGCAACGAGCGCAACCCUUGUCAUUAGUUGCUCGAAAAGGGCACUCUAAUGAGACUGCCGGUGACAAACCGGAGGAGGUAGGGGAUGACGUCAGGUCCUCAUGGCCCUUAUGGGUAGGGCUACACACGUCAUACAAUGCCGGGUACAGAGGGCUGCCAACCCGCGAGGGAGCGGCAAUCCCAGAACCAAGGUCGUAGUCCGGAUCGCAGUCUGCAACUCGACUGCGUGAAGUCGGAAUCGCUAGUAAUCGCGGAUCAGCCUGCCGCGGUGAAUACGUUCCCGGGUCUUGUACACACCGCCCGUCACACCAUGGGAGCGAGUUCUGCCAGAAGUAGUUAGCCUAACCGCAAGGAGGGCGAUUACCACCAGGGGGUUCGUGGACUGGGUGAGGUCGUAACAAGGUAACCGAA